GUACAUGGCGGAUCUGACGUCCAUGGAGACUUUGAGUUGCUGGAGACAAUUGGCGAAAACGAGCGUGUAUUGAUCGGCGUCGUUCUCGGAAUAGAUGGUGCUGUACUCGGAUUUGCCGUUGAGGUUGUUGAAGGUGAAGACUUGUUUGAUUAGAUCGGACUGGAGAACGCACGUGAUCUCUCCGUCUUCGAGCUGUUGGAGCACGUGGAGCCAUGAGUCGUGAGUGCAGAGGAAGAAUCCGACCUUGGAGAAGUCGAGGUCCGGGUUUGAAAGGGAGAUUUUGGAAACGUUGAGCUCGAGACGGCCACGGUGUGUGAACCCAAACUCGUCGAACGGGAUUAUCGGGCGGUUAUCGUUUCGAAUCUCGUUGAAUCGGAUCGCGGCCGAUGAAAGGGAAAGCAAUUGGAAGACCAACACACAGAAAACCAAGGAUUUUGAGACAC
rnacentral:lncRNA from 1 species